rnacentral:rRNA from 1 species
UCGCCUCUUGCCAAUAUUAUGUAUAAGAGGUCCCGCCUGCCCUGUGAAUAUUUAACGGCCGCGGUAUCCUGACCGUGCGAAGGUAGCGUAAUCAAUUGUCUUUUAAUUAAAGACCCGUAUGAACGGCACCACGAGAGUUUAUCUGUCUCUAUUUUCCAAUCAAUGAAAUUGAUCCUCUCGUGCAGAAGCGAGAAUACAAACAUAAGACGAGAAGACCCUAUGAAGCUUUAAACACUCAAGUUAUUUUUAAAAUGAUAAAUCCACCCCCGGGUAUAAAUAAACUAAAUUUUUAACUUGACUUGUUUUUGGUUGGGGCGACCAAGGGGUAAAACAAAACCCCCUUACCGAACGAGUAAUUUAUUACUUAAAAACUAGAACCACCAUUCUAACGAAUAGAAAAAUCUAACGAACAAUGACCCAAGAACUAAAUUCUUGAUCAAUGAACCAAGUUACUCUAGGGAUAACAGCGCAAUCCUUUCCCAGAGCCCUAAUCACCGAAAGGGUUUACGACCUCGAUGUUGGAUCAGGACAUCCUAAUGGUGCAGCCGCUAU